GGGAGGAGAGAGAAAGAAUGAGGCGUGUUACCAUAGUAACUGCCAAUGGUUUAUUUAAGAAGGGCAAGGAAACAAACACCACAAAAAGGCGAAGUCAAGAGAAGUUGAAGAUUGCCGAAGGAAUCUGUCAGGAUACGGACACAGAGGGGCCAGGUGAACGUACGUUGCUUUCUGGUUCAGGCAGACUGAAGGACCUGCUGGCUGAACCCAUCAGGAAGCUGCGGAGAUGGCUGCUCACACCUCCCAGGACCACAAGGCCCAUCAGAGAUGAAGUGCCACCUUCCAGCAUGAGGGAGCAGUGAAGGCCCAAGGGGGAGCAUAACAAAAGGACCAUCAAUAGCCCAGGAGCCCCAUUACAAGAUUCUUGAGGGAUGUUGGCAUGAAAUUCUGACUCUGGUGAAUAUCCCAUAGUGGAUAUUUGAAAGAAGUUUCUGAGCAAACAGCUAUCUAUCCUCUGUCUUGAAAAUACAAGUUCAGCAGUGGACUCGUCACAGGAGUGGUCAUUUUUAAAGCAGUGCUGUUUCUUUCUAGAGGUAAGCAAGA